rnacentral:lncRNA from 1 species
UGAAUUUUAAUUUUUCUGACAUCAUUUACAGGUCCAUUUUAGUUGACUGUUCAGUACCGCACCUCGACGAGCACGGAAUUUCCUAUCUUGGCAUCUCAGGGCUUAGUAGUUCAGAACGUGGAGACAUUCGACGCUGGGACGACUCAAACCAACGGUACUCAGGGAGUUCCUAGUCCUAUUUACUUUUAGUUGACGCUAUUUCUUUAUUUUAGAAUUGCAUCAAUUAAUUCGUUGUGUGCUGACCAUUUGAUAAUAUUGCCUUCAACCUAUUUGAUUGUAUUUCACGAACUAAAUUCCAUUGAUCUGUACUAGCCCUUUGAUAAUACUGCCUUAAACCUAUUCGAUUAUAUUUCACGAACUAAAUUCCAUUACUCAAUCGUUUACCCCACGUGACUAGACCUAGUAUUUGGACAUUUGCUUUUCUAUUUUAUUAGCAUUAGUAGUAUUAGUUUGCGAUCGAGCCAUAAGUAAUCCCAACCUUUAAAUUGACAAAAUAACAAAAAAAAA